GUGUUCUCUUCAGCAGCACAUUUACUAAAAUUGAAAUGAUACAGAGAUUAGCAUGGCCUCUGCGCAAGGAUGACAUGCAAAUUUGUGAGGCAUUCCAUAUUUUU